rnacentral:rRNA from 1 species
UGGGGAAUUUUGGACAAUGGGGCAACCCUGAUCCAGCAAUGCCGCGUGAGUGAAGAGGGCCUUCGGGUUGUAAAGCUCUUUUGUCCGGGAAGAAAUCCCAUCCCUGAAUACGGGGUGGGGAUGACGGUACUGGAAGAAUAAGCACCGGCUAACUACGUGCCAGCAGCCGCGGUAAUACGUAGGGUGCAAGCGUUAAUCGGAAUUACUGGGCGUAAAGCGUGCGCAGGCGGUUGUGCAAGACCGAUGUGAAAUCCCCGGGCUUAACCUGGGAACUGCAUUGGUGACUGCACGGCUAGAGUGUGUCAGAGGGGGGUAGAAUUCCACGUGUAGCAGUGAAAUGCGUAGAGAUGUGGAGGAAUACCGAUGGCGAAGGCAGCCCCCUGGGAUAACACUGACGCUCAUGCACGAAAGCGUGGGGAGCAAACAGGAUUAGAUAGCCCUGGUAGUCCACGCCCU